GGGGCUGCAGUUCAGUGGUAGAGCACCUGUUUUGCAUGCAGGAGGUCCCCAGUUCAAUCCCUGGCAUCUCCA